rnacentral:rRNA from 1 species
GUCCACGCCGUAAACGAUGAACACUAGGUGGAUGUCGAGCUAUCGAUGUCCGCCGGAGGCAAUUUGGUAAGUGUUCCGCCUGGGGAGUAUGGUCGCAAGGCUGAAACUCAAAGGAAUUGACGGGGGCUCACACAAGCGGUGGAGGAUGUGGUUUAAUUCGAAGCAACGCGAAGAACCUUACCAGGUUUUGACAUUCCGGGAUUAGUCCGAUGAAAGUCGGAUGAUUGCCGUCAAAAGUGUAACCGGAACAGGUGCUGCAUGGCUGUCGU